rnacentral:rRNA from 1 species
GAUGAACGCUGGCGGCGUGCUUAACACAUGCAAGUCGAACGAAGCACUUUAUUACGAUUUCUUCGGAAUGACGAUUUAGUGACUGAGUGGCGGACGGGUGAGUAACGCGUGGGUAACCUGCCUUAUACAGGGGGAUAACAGUUAGAAAUGACUGCUAAUACCGCAUAAGCGCACAGGAUUGCAUGAUCUGGUGUGAAAAACUCCGGUGGUAUAAGAUGGACCCGCGUCUGAUUAGCUGGUUGGUGAGGUAACGGCCCACCAAGGCGACGAUCAGUAGCCGGCCUGAGAGGGUGAACGGCCACAUUGGGACUGAGACACGGCCCAAACUCCUACGGGAGGCAGCAGUGGGGGAUAUUGCACAAUGGGGGGAAACCCUGAUGCAGCGACGCCGGCGUGGAGGAAGAAGGUUUUCGGAUUGUAAAACUCUAUCAGCAGGGAAGAUAAUGACGGUACCUGACUAAGAAGCACCGGCUAAAUACGUGCCAGCAGCCGCGGU